UUUAAUAUAUUUUUAAAUAAUUUUUUUUUUAUAAAAAAUCAUUAUUUCUGUUCUAAAUAACCUAAAUUUUUUUAAAAAAAGUUAUAAAAAUCAAAUUUGAAAUGUGAGAAAAUUUUUGUUAGUUAUGAAUAGAACUCCAGGGAGGGAAUUGGUAAAUAUCAAAACCUGAGGAAAAGAAAAUGAAUUCACCGCACCAGACUAGAAAAAAAAAAAAAAAAAAAAUCUAAAUUUUUAUAUUUGUGAGUCGAGAAGUAAACAAGCACGACGACUAGACAACACAUUCUAAAAUAAAUCAAGUUCUUUUUAGAGUCUCUCCUCAAAAUAUAAGAAGAAAUUCGAACUCCAAUGGAUUGAUGCAAAUCAUCCACAACUUCGGUUUGAUCUAUUCAAGAGAUUCGAAUCUUAUGGACUAGCGUUAAACUGCAAUCAUCAUGUGGCAAGGAAGCUUCAGAGGCUUGACGAUUGGGCAUUUGAAAUACAGUGGACGAGAAUCUUUGAAGUGAGGAGUUUGUUUCAGCUUCAAGUAUUCAUUGCAUCCUUGAGGAUUUCCCUCUCCUCAAAGAGAUGGAGCAACGAUAUCAGAGACCUGCGAAUGAGGCUCUCAAGGGAGAAUAAGCAGAAGCUGCAGAACCAUACUAAUCAGCGCUUUCUUCACAACUUAGGAACUACCUAUAUGAAAAGUCACUUGGUUGUUAUGCAUAUGCUGCGCCAGAAGGUUGGUCACUUAAAAUAAACAUGGCAAAAGUAGAGUUUAUUUGUGCUCUUCUUUUCUUUUCCAAAAAACCGUAAAAUAUAUGAAAUUCAUUUAGGGUGAAUAACUUUAGGGUGAGUGUUAUUCACCCUCUUUUAAUUGUCAAACAUACCCUCAUCUGAUAGUCCAGCAGAUUCAGUGCCAUUAACUACUGGGUGAUUUGCCAAGUCAACACCAAAGUCGCCUAAGAGAUUAAAAUCAAUGUCGUCGUCGUCAUCAUCAUCAUCCUCAUCAUCAUAAUCUCUGUCUGAAUCUUCUUCCACUCUUUGCUUCUCUUCCUUUGCACGGGCUUCCCUUUGCAUUCGUUGUGCGAUGGCAUCCUCAUAAGACGUUUCAUACCAAACAUUGCCCUUUCCCACAAUAGAUUUGUUAUGAAGCUCUGUCAUCCUCUCUUGCUUGCUCUUUUCCGAGUUCUUGGGUUCUCCCCAGUAGUCAUACCGGUAUAGAGGAUUUUCAGGAUCAUAUUGGUCCUUACCAAAGAAACUUGCUGGCUUAUACUUUCCUGGUUCUUCCAAUGGCAGACCAAGAGCUUGACGGCUGCGACAAAUUGUCCAGCUUGAGUUAGAGAAAACAAGAGGAAGUGAUGCAGCCAAUCAAAGAUAGGGUAAAUGCGUAAUAUAUAAAAGGUAGCAAUUAGCCAUGUUUUGAUCCCAUGAAUCAAAUUAAAAGAACUCCUGCCGGUAUGUAUUAAUAAUAAAUUUUCUUUGCUCAUGUUCUGCUCCAAAGACGAAGGGCAUCGUUAUUAAACCUACAAAAACAAGGAACUGAUUCCUGAAAAUGGUUGGAACAGGCAACCUGAUCACAGUGUAGAAUUGAACCAAGCAACUCUAAGCAAGAAAAUGCAAAGCAGAGAGCAUGAUUUUAACACCCAUCCUUUAUAACAUCAGCACGAUGAUUAUCAUGCUUCAAUUAAAGAUUUUAUAUUAGACAACCUAACCAGGAAGGGCCUGAAGGAGCUUGUGCUAACAUAGACAUGUUAAAUCUAAUAUGAUAAAAUAUUUCCAACAAACACACACACACAGGGAGAGAGAGAGAAUAGAACAGAUGAGUCACCAGCUGAUGUCUCUGAUCAAAGCUUCUCUUUCCUCAAAUGAUCGACGCCAGUGCAACAAGUCAUACUCAUCCAUUUCUAUAUUUCGUCUCAGCUUGGUGAUUUUAUAUUUCUCUCCCCUUUCCUUUGCUUCCAUUCUUAGUUUAUUAUGAAACUGCAUCCAGAAAAUAUUGAAAAAAUUAAGUAUAAUGAGAAAGCUAGUUUGACAUAUUUACGAGGAGCUUUGAUUAUGUUGCAGUGGAAGUUUAAGAUACAGCAAUAUAUAAAAUAGAUUUCUAGCUAUGACUGAAAAGCCAAGCCAUUAAAACUAUUUUGAGGGUUGGUUAUCCUGCAUGAAUAUGGCAUAUGCGUGAACAAAAUGGAAACUUGGCCGUGCAUUGUCUAACUAGCAAAUAGCAAGUAAAGCACCGGGAGCAAGAGACUCAUUCCGUGUUCUCCAAGCCAAGGAUUGAGACAAUAAACAUUACAUGGCUGGCUUUAAAUUUGACCUUCAAAACAGAGGUAAACCAUAUGGGACCUGGUUGAUGACAAAACAGACAUUGAACACAUGAACAUGGAAGAUAGUUCUAUCUACAAAUGAAAUAUAAAUGUUGGUUAAAUCAUAAAUGAGAAGCCAACUAUGUUAAAACAAUCAAUAAAAUUUUUAAUAUAGAUAAUAAACAACUCAAGAAAAUCGUUGACCUCACGCUCGGCUAAGGCAGCUUCCAAGUCAAGUUCUUUAACACUCGUUUUCUGUAAAUGGGUACAAGAGAUGUCAGCUGUGUUCAACAGACUAAAGAUGUGUACAUUAUCAAAGAAUGUUCCUCACCAGAAUCACUUUAGGCAGCACUGUUUUCUUAUGAUAAGCUUCAGUAUAUUCAAUGCUAUUUUCUUCAUCAAAAUCUUCGUUAUCAGUCAACUCGGAUAUCUUUUUGCCCUUGUAUUUCUCAGGAUUAGCCUCCCAAUCAUCCAAAAUUGUUUGCUCAGCAACAUGGAUUUGCCACAACUGCAUAAAAUACCCAAGUUCACCCAUCAUAAGAAAGAGGAUCAGCACACAGUUCUUAAAAUAGACAGGAUUACCGAUGGCAUUGGACAUUAAUUGACCAUCAUAAACUGGCUACAAAAACAAUAAUGAGAAAAAUGCUACAGAAAGGCACCUUAUCUACAUAAGGGUGAUUUGACAAUAGAGGUUCCUCUUCUGGUUUAUCUUCAGGAUCUCUCCUAGGAACAGGAGGUCUUCCACAGUCACGCUGCAAAUGUAAGUGCACGUGAAGGACAAAUAGAGAGACAUUAAGUUCCAAAAAAUACAAUAUAUGCAGGAAUUUACUAGCAAAAUGGAGAAGUUCAGACUAGAUUGUCCAGCCCCUACUGUAACAAAAAAUCGCCUUCCAAAACUACAUUUCCCCAUGUUUUAACUGACUCAGCUGGUUAAGAUGGGAGAUCCAACAGUAUUCAAAUACCCUUCAGUGACCAUAAGGUUGAGUCCAAUAUUAAGCAAUUCUGAGAACUCAAAGAUCCUACAGUCACAUUAAAACUAAUAAUAGCAUAUGAAAUAUGCCAUUGCCAUAUAAACUGCCACGGAUGGGUUGCCAUCCAAGCAUGUGAAUGAUAUGCAAUUCAUCAUGUGAACCCAUAUUCCACAAUGCACCAAGCUAUGCCAUGGUUAACCUGGGAGACUUUAUCCAUGCCAUCAAAUGAGGCAACCAUGAAUAGAACUAAAUUGGAAAAGGCUGAUUAUGGGCAAAAUAUAGGAGAAACAGAAGGGGACAGCAUUUUUUUUUUAUAAGGAAGCUUACAGACCCGCAAUUCAUCUAGGUUUGUAUCCUCAUCACGAUGAAAUACCGGUGGAAACUCAAAUCUGUUGAAGCUGGAAGAGUAUGAAAAAUGUCAAAAAGCCAUAGGGUAAGCACAUAAAUAUAGAUAAAUUCUAAAACAGCACCAUUAACUAAUUAGCUGGUAGAAAUAGAUAGAAGUACUUUAUUACCAGAGACUCUUUCUAACAGGAGAAACCCAUGUGGCUUACAGUGCAAGGCCACAUGGUAACCCAGUAUGUGAAGCUACUUACUUUGGGUACGACAUGGGAAUCAAGUAUUGCAAAUUUUAAGAGGACAAGACUAGCAACAAAAGUGUAAAGGAAUCACAUACAUAAGAUGGUCUAUGUUAGGAUAGACAAAACGCAUUUCAAGUGGAAAUCGAAAACGAUAAGGAUCUCGCUUUGCCUGCAAGAAAAUUGAACCAGUCAAAAUAGCCAAGGCCACUCAACAUGCAAGAUCCACAGGUUUGAAACAUUCACAUAUAUACCAAUAUUUGUGCAGGCCAAGAACACUGCUCACCAGAAUUUCAACAAUGACAUGCAUACCGACUUUUAUAUGAUGGCGAAUCCAAAACCAAUCAUUGCGUUUAAUUGGGAUCCAUCUGAAAUUCAUAGACAUGAACGUGGAUUGGAAUGAGGUACCUCCAAUCAGACAUUCAAGCAAAUGGACGGGAAGCAAACACUUAGGAUAUGACAACAUCUAGCUUCCAGCGAGCCAGAUUAGGAAGUAUAAGGUGACGAUACGUACCCAUCAUGCACACCUCCAACAUCAACAAAGGCUCCUUGAUAUAGAUGUAUAGUGGUAACUUUUCCUUCACAGAUCUGCAAUGACAUUUGACAAACUGCACAUUAUCAUCAAUUUAUAGAUAGAACAACGCAAGUCCCUGUUAGCAGCUCAAAGAGGAUAUAUCUACAUGCCAAGAUCCUGUAUAGAAUUCUCAAUAGGCUAACACAAGUAUAACACGUCUUUGAUGUAUCAUCCAAAAUAAGUUCACAUUUCCUGUCCUAUGUAUCAGAUUUUAGCGAGCAACUGAAACUUUAUUAUGGCGCUAUACAUGAGCUACAUUACGCACUCCAGAGAAAAAGAAAAUCAGCAAGGAACAGAACAAGCUCAGGAACUCACCUGCCCCGGGUAAUAAAAUGGAAGCUCAUACUGCAAGAAAAAAAAAACCAUUAUUACUAUCUUUCAGCAACUAAAAUUUGAAACUCAACGGUAUAAACAAGGAAAGAUAUUGCAGCAUUGUCCAACCAUGCCCUCUUUAUAGUCUUUCCCUCUUUUUCUUCGACCCGGAUAAUAAUCUUGGUCUUCCUGUAUCACCAACAUAAAAAAAUAAAAAAUAAAAAAAUCACACAUUAGUGUAUUUUAAAAACCAUCUCUGCUCCUCUAAAAAAAAGCCCAAAUGAGAAAUUCACUCCCUUCCAUCAUUUGAAACACUACCUUAUACGACUCCUCUUCUAGUCUAUCCUUAUUCGCCUCAACCCACUCUUCAUAUUGCUUCAAGAACACCUUAUACCUCUCCAAACACAUAUUCUCCUUAUCAACACCGACCCCAUUUUCCAAAUCGUCCAAAUUCACUCUAACUCCUUGCAAUUUAUGCCCUUCCCUAAUGAACUCCAAUUCCUUCCUAUCCACUUCCCACCCUCUUGGCGGCCAGUCCCUCGGUGCCACCUGUCUAACAACCAAUGGACUAACCCAUUCUGUCUCCAACUUAUCCGGUAUCUCCCCUUUUAUCUCAAAUUGCUUCAUAUACCACUCAUCUUCAGUAAGCCCCAUUUCUUUAAUUUUCUGCGAACGGUAACUUGGAGAUAACAUGUUGAAUGCUUCAAUUGCUUCUGGGGUUUUAAGAGGGACCUCUUCGCCUUCGUUUAGUGACUUUUUCGCGAAAUCGGCUUCUGGGGUUAAGAUUUCUUCCCAUGGUGCCCAGCCACGGACAAUCCAGUUCUUUCUUCGAGCUUCGUCUUCGGUUUCUUGGUCUUUUGGUGCGAAUUUUUCAAGGAAUGUUUCGUCUACUGGGAAUUCAUCUGAGCUGUAAGAUUUUGGAGGUGUUAGAGUGGUGGAGAGAGGGUGCCGAGGGAGGAGGAGGAACUGGUGGUGGUUUUUAUGGUGGGGUUUAAGGGAAGGGUUUAGGGGUUUGGGUAAAGAGAAGAGAGGGAAAGGAGUUCGGAGGAUUUGCAUUUUUGUGUGCAAAA